rnacentral:rRNA from 1 species
AUGGCGAGCCAGGGCGACGCGAGCGGGAAGAAAGACUACUCCACGGCGAUCCUGGAGAGGAAGAAGUCGCCGAACCGGCUGGUGGUCGACGAGGCGACCAACGACGAGAACUCCACCGUCGCCCUGCACCCGGACACCAUGGACAGCCUCGAGCUCUUCCACGGCGACAUCGUCCUGCUCAAGGGCAAGAAGCGAAAGGACACGAUCUGCAUUCUACUCCCAGACGACACGUGCGACAAGACCAAGGUCCGGAUGAACAAGGUCGUCCGGAAGAACCUAAGGGUCCGGCUCGGCGACGUCGUCUCCGUCCAUCAGUGCCCGGACGUCAAGUACGGGAAGCGCGUGCACGUACUCCCCGUUGACGACACCGUCGAGGGGAUCGCCGGAAACCUGUUUCGACGCCUUCCUGAGACCCUACUUCCUCGAGGCCUAUCGUCCCCUCAGGAAAGGAGACCUGUUCCUGGUGAGGGGCGGCAUGACGAGCGUGGAGUUCAAGGUUGUGGAGACCGACCCUGCCGAGUACUGCAUCGUCGCCUCUGA